rnacentral:rRNA from 1 species
GAUGAACGCUGGCGGCGUGCCUAAUACAUGCAAGUCGAGCGAACGGACGAGAAGCUUGCUUCUCUGAUGUUAGCGGCGGACGGGUGAGUAACACGUGGAUAACCUACCCAUAAGACUGGGAUAACUUCGGGAAACCGUAGCUAAUACCGGAUAAUAUUUUGAACCGCAUGGUUCAAAAGUGAAAGACGGUCUUGCUGUCACUUAUAGAUGGAUCCGCGCUGCAUUAGCUAGUUGGUAAGGUAACGGCUUACCAAGGCAACGAUGCAUAGCCGACCUGAGAGGGUGAUCGGCCACACUGGAACUGAGACACGGUCCAGACUCCUACGGGAGGCAGCAGUAGGGAAUCUUCCGCAAUGGGCGAAAGCCUGACGGAGCAACGCCGCGUGAGUGAUGAAGGUCUUCGGAUCGUAAAACGCUGUUAUUAGGGAAGAACAUAUGUGUAAGUAACUGUGCACAUCUUGACGGUACCUAAUCAGAAAGCCACGGCUAACUACGU